AAACAGCUCUGUGCUUAAAGCAUUUGAUGCAUUACUAUCUCUGCCUAGCUCUACCAUAGUAAGACAGAGAUGCUUGGUUUCAAACAU
ensembl:snoRNA SNORA63 Small nucleolar RNA SNORA63